rnacentral:tRNA from 1 species
GAGGGUAUAGCUUAAGUGGUAAAGCACAUGUUUAGCAUGCAUGAGAUCCUGAGUUAAAUUCCCAGUACUUCCU